GUGUUGGUGGGGGGGGGUAGUGGUGGUGGGGGGGGACCACGUGGGUGGAUGUUGCGUUGCAACGACCUUGCAAUAGAGAGGUUACCUCCCCUCUCUCUCGUUGUUGUUGUUUGUUGUUUGUUGUUGUUUGUUGUUGUUUGUUGUUGUUGACGAAGGGGGUGGGGUGGGCGAUGUUGAUUUUAGGGGGCGGGGCUUACAGCGACUACGUAACCACGGAAACGGGCAGGUGGGUGAGCGUACAAUUGGGUGGGUGAUGGUGGGUGAGUUUACGAGUGAGUGAGCAGGUGAGUAAGUGAGUGGGUGAGUGAGCAGGCGAGGUAGUCAACAUCUCCUGCCACCGUGAUGGUGAUGAAGAUGAGAGAGACGCAGACUCCACAUAGACCUCCUGUAGACCAGGCGAGGUAGUCAACAUCUCCUAGCCACUGUGAUGAUGAUGAUGAGAGACGCAGACUCCACAUAGACCUCCUGUAGACCAGGCGAGGUAGUCAACAUCUCCUAGCCACUGUGAUGAUGAUGAUGAGAGACGCAGACUCCACAUAGACCUCCUGUAGACCAGGCGAGGUGGUCAACAUCUCCUAGCCACCGUGAUGAUGAUGAUGAUGAGAGACGCAGACUCCAAAUACACAGCAGCAGCAGGCGUCGUCAGGAGGCCGUGUGUGGUGGGGUGAGCGCGUGUGGGUGCCCGUGUGUGUGCGUGGGUGUGUGGGUGUGUGGGUGCCCGUGUGUGUGCGUGGGUGUGUGGAUGUGUGGGUGGAUGUGGGUGUGCGUGUGGGUGUCCGUGGGUGUGCGGGUGUGUGGGUGUGUGUGUGUGUGUCCUCUCUGCCUCGUGGUGGAACGUUGGCCAGUGGCGGAGACUCACCCACCACUCACCCACCACUCACCCACCCACCACUUACCCACCUACUCACCCACCUACCCACCCACCUACUCACCCAC